rnacentral:rRNA from 1 species
AACGAACGCUGGCGGCAUGCCUAACACAUGCAAGUCGAACGAGACCUUCGGGUCUAGUGGCGCACGGGUGCGUAACGCGUGGGAACCUGCCCUUAGGUUCGGAAUAACUCCCCGAAAGGGGUGCUAAUACCGGAUAAUGUCUUCGGACCAAAGGUUUAUCGCCUUUGGAUGGGCCCGCGUUGGAUUAGUUAGUUGGUAGGGUAAAAGCCUACCAAGGCUACGAUCCAUAGCUGGUCUGAGAGGAUGAUCAGCCACACUGGGACUGAGACACGGCCCAGAAUCUUACGGGAGGAAGCAGUGGGGAAUAUUGGACAAUGGGCGAAAGGCUGAUCCAGCAAUGCCGCGUGAGUGAUGAAGGCCUUAGGGUUGUAAAGCGCUUUUAACCGGGAUGAUAAUGACAGUACCGGGAGAAUAAGCACCGGCUAACUACGUG